GCCAGCCAUGACAGCGGCUGGAUGUGUUUCUCGCUGCUCUGACCAUUCAGUAGCUGAAAGCCAUAGAAACACUAAUAUGACCCAUCGGGACAACGGGGAA